UUUCAAUUUAGAAAGAUAAUUAGAAGAUGUAUUUUGCUGAAAGUAUCACUCUUAAAACUAUACUUUGUAGCAUUUUUCAUAUUUAGAGGGACAGAAAUAUGCAUAAAGUUUAAUUUGUGGGAUAAACUGUGAAUGAACACUCAUUCUUGUGUUUUUUGUGGUGCCGUAUAGGAUUAGAUUUUCCAGUACAUAUGGAGAUUUGUGUACUCUAUGUUUUCCCUUUUUAAAUUUUCCAGUAAUUUGUACCAUGGAAAACUUGUGGGAGAGAGUUUCUUGGGAAAGAAAAGGCCAGUUUAUGAGUGUAGCGAUGUGCAGGUGAACGGCAUGAGCCUUUGAUGUAUAAUGUUGUUAGGAACCAGAUUGAGACGGAGUUCCCGGUGGUGGGACUGGAUUGAUGAGUCAAGAGACAGAGGCUUGUGAUUCCGAAGCAGGAAGUGAGAUGAUAAGCAGGAGUUUGAGCUCACCACUGAUCUUGCAUGACUUGAGCAAAAUUAGUUCAAAUGCAAAAGACUUUUGGCAAAAUAGCUAGCCAAUAGAUACAUUACUAUGACUAUUUGUUAUAAUUAGUUUCUUUGUCUUUAGUCUUUA